GAAGGAAUAUACACUCUUGAUUUUGGUUGAGUAGCACUUCAGUCAUUUGAUCUCUUAAUCCAUCAACAAUGCAUUGACACGGAGAGCUGGUACAGCUUGAUGAAGAUAACUAGGUUCUUCAGCUGGAAUUUGCGCUACUAUCUGACUGGAAUUGUCCACGCCAAUGUUAGUUAUAAGGGUAAUAAAAGUGGCCGAAAAAGCAAAACUGCCACUAUAAUAGAGGCUGCACCAGUAAUAAGUUGCACCGGAACCACACCUGAGGAUGAUGCACUGCUUGCAUGUUUGCUUGAUAUAUACAUCAUAGUGUUAUUCACCAGCGGAAGCUUCCCAGCAAUAUCUGGCUGCAAUUUCCAUGGAAAGUAUAUAUAUAGACUCAAGUACCACUUUACAAUGUCAAAAAGCAAUAACCUGACUUAAUAUUGUUCAGUCCAGUAAUGCAUCAACCAUAUGCUCCUAUGCAUAUAGGCACAACAAAGCUGGUGAAUGAUUUUCAGAUGAAAUUCAAGGAUAUAAAGGAAAAGAAAGCUGCCUGCUUAAUUAACUCCAAGAUAAAGCCACAAGAAGUUGUUUGAUGGUAUUCUAUGAAAACGAUAACAUAUGUACAAAUGACAUUGUCCACUUUUUAAUAUGGAGAUGCCAGAAGCAAGUAUUUAUAAUGGUAUUCAUAGCAGUCAAAUGUGCUUAGCAAUUACAGUGAAUAACGAUUUGAAGGUAAGCCAAGUCUUCUUAAAGUGGACUCCAAUAGUUACACAACCAUUCAACUGUUUUAAACUUUUGAUUUAAUGAGUUGGUUGCACCUUCAAAAUUAUGUGACCUCUGACUUAUUGCCAAUGUCUAGGACAUGGGACAUGUCAAAGAUCACUGAAUUGCAACCUGUAACAAGCUAGGACAGGUAAAUAUCACUAAAUUGGAAGUUUCAUUGUUCUCCUUGUCAAGAUUAAUUAGUUCUGCAAUCUAUAUGGACAACAAUAAAAAGAAUAAUAACAUUAACAAUCUGGUAAUGCAGGGUAAUGAGAAUCAAGUUUGAAAAAAACUCUCUCAGAUAUAAAAUGAUUGAAGAACGUCCCUACAUAAUGACUCCUCCAGUUGAACUAAAACCUAA
rnacentral:misc_RNA from 1 species